rnacentral:tRNA from 1 species
GGAGAGAUGACUGAGAGGCCGAAAGUAUUUCAUUGCUAAUGAAACGUACGAGCAAUCGUACCAAGGGUUCGAAUCCCUUUCUCUCCG